UGAGUGGGAGGCAGUAAGGGGGGGUGAGGUGAGGCAUGCCAGGAGACAUGAUGUCAAAUCUGGCUUUUGAGCAGAUCUACCUGGGCAUCCUCACCUGCUUUCCUUGGGCAGAGCUCAAGACACAGAAGUGCCUUAUUCUCAAAGGUUUCAGAGGUCAUUUGGGUCCCUAAAUACCCAUGGGGAUUUGGACUUAGUUUCUACUCUGCUCUUAAAGAAGGAUUUAAUAGCACUUUCUUAUCCCCUGGAUAUCACAUACACGAUGAUAUCAAGAUAGACAAGAGAGACAAAGACCAAAAAAGUCACUGGCGAGAUCCAGAAGUUUGAUAUUUAAGUAAAACUUUCUUCAUACUUUUUUUGUUUCCAUGCAGGUGGAGUUAGUUUGCAGCUUUUGCUGUUCGUGCAGCUGUUCCAGUUGUGCUUAAACUGGUUUCCAAAAGGGUCCUGGUCAAUUUAAAAAGGUUAUCUGUAAGCAGCUGGGAGGCUGGAUUUCUAUCAAAAGUUAGGAAGUUGGACUUGUUACUUUUUGGACCAAGGGCAGGGGGCUUCUCCAGCAACCUGGCCCUUUCCUUGCCACAAGCAGACACAAUGUGUCGAGCUCUAAACCUGAACUGGUUUCUUUGUGGAGUACAAGACAUUGUGAUUCCUAAACAGAGUAUGAAAGCUGUUUCCUAUGCCUCAGAAACAGGCCAUUGUAAUGGGGUUUUGAUACUGAUGGUGUCAGUUAAUGUUUUAAAGCUAUUGCAGAUGCUCCCAUGGCUUAAGGACACUUACUCUUGGCUCUCAGCUCAUUUUCUUCAGGUGUCUGAUAGCAGGUUCCUGGCUGAGCUGUGAUGUGACUUCUGGCAGUUGACCUGACAACCUUGGAGCAGUUAAAGACCAACUGCGAGGUGCUCUAAGGGGUCAUGACUCAAAGGCCAGGCGACCUGCAAGCUGGGAAAGCUGGCUUCGCCCAUCUGUCCUUCAACUACCAUGUGCCAGUGACUUUACACCAUGCUGCAGUUCUGAAGCUUUCUGAAUAUCAACUAUACUUCUUCAUCCUUCCCCCCCUGCACCAAGAAAUCACAAACGUCCCCACCUUAGAGUUACUUUGUGACUGAUAAUUUCUCAUUUCUAUAUAGGGAAAGCCAAAGUAAGCAGCAGAGCUCAAGAAAGAGCUGAUGGCUCCUAGCGCCAGUGGCUCAGUCUCUCGUACCUCCAGGGACCAUCAUGCCUUGUUAGGAAAAAAGAAAAGGAAAAAAGGACUAUUGUGUGCAGGGAGACUGUCCUGGCUUAGUAGAGAAGAGAGGAGGGGGUCUGGUGCUCACAGGUGACUGAGGAGUCCCCAGCAGAGAGGCACUUCUGCUGUGUGUCAUCCUGGUCCCUAUCAUGGUGCUGUUGGGGUCUGGCCCUUCCUUUGUGUCCUACUGCUGCAGGACGAGGGACUCGCAGUAAAAAUGGGUGUUUAAGCUCCCAAAGUAA